rnacentral:rRNA from 1 species
CGAACUUGGCAGAGAUGCCUUGGUGCCUUCGGGAACGCUGAGACAGGUGCUGCAUGGCUGUCGUCAGCUCGUGUUGUGAAAUGUUGGGUUAAGUCCCGNAACGAGCGCAACCCUUAUCCUUUGUUGCCAGCGAUUCGGUCGGGAACUCAAAGGAGACUGCCGGUGAUAAACCGGAGGAAGGUGGGGAUGACGUCAAGUCAUCAUGGCCCUUACGAGUAGGGCUACACACGUGCUACAAUGGCGCAUACAAAGAGAAGCGACCUCGCGAGAGCAAGCGGACCUCAUAAAGUGCGUCGUAGUCCGGAUCGGAGUCUGCAACUCGACUCCGUGAAGUCGGAAUCGCUAGUAAUCGUGGAUCAGAAUGCCACGGUGAAUACGUUCCCGGGCCUUGUACACACCGCCCGUCACACCAUGGGAGUGGGUUGCAAAAGAAGUAGGUAGCUUAACCUUCGGGAGGGCGCUUACCACUUUGUGAUUCAUGACUGGGGUGAAGUCGUAACAAGGUAAGCGUAGCGAG